ACCCAUGAAUGGCAAGCUUACAUUUCACGUUGUCAUGCAUUGCGUAAAGUGUUUGUAUCUGUCAAGGGUAUUUACUAUCAGGCUGAAUUAGAAGGUCAAAAGAUCACUUGGUUAACCCCUCAUGCAAUACAACAAGUUUUUACAUAUGAUGUUUGACUUUGGUGUCCUGCUUUUAUGAGACUCUUCUUGCCGUUAUUAAUUUCAAGCUUUACCAUUCUCUGAAUGUGAAAUAUCCGCCAAUCCUUGAUUCUCGGUUGGAGGCUUUGGCUGCGGAUACAUAGAUGCCAGCUCCAAG